UGAGGAAUAUUGGGCAAUGCCCGCAAGGGUGACCCAGCAACGCCGCGUGGAGGAUGCAUGUCGUAAGAUUGUAAACUCCUGUUAGAGGGGAAGAAUAGUACCGGUUGGACCGGUCUAUGACUGUACCCUCAGAGAAAGCCCCGGCUAACUACGUGCCAGCAGCCGCGGUAAUACGUAGGGGGCAAGCGUUGUCCGGAUUUACAGGGUGUAAAGGGCGCGCAGGCGGGAUAAGAAGUCAGUGGUGAAAUCCUACAGCUUAACUGUAGAACUACCUGUGAUACUUGUAUUAUUGGGGUCGGGAGAGUGAGACAGAAUCCCAGGGGUAGUGGUGAAAUACGUAGAUAUCUGGAAGAACACCAGUUGCGAAGGCGGUCUCUUGGUCCGACACUGACGCUGAGGCGCGAAAGCGU
rnacentral:rRNA from 1 species